GGAGGGUGCAAGCGUUGUUCGGAAUUAUUGGGCGUAAAGAGCGUGUAGGCGGUUCGGUAAGUCAGAUGUGAAAGCCCUGGGCUCAACCCAGGAAGUGCAUUUGAAACUACCAGACUUGAGUACGGGAGAGGAGGGGGGAAUUCCCGGUGUAGAGGUGAAAUUCGUAGAUAUCGGGAGGAAUACCAGUGGCGAAGGCGCCCCUCUGGACCGAUACUGACGCUGAGACGCGAAAGCGUGGGGAGCAAACAGGAUUAGAUACCCUGGGUAGUCCACGCCGUAAACGAUGAGCACUAGGUGUAGCGGGUAUUGACCCCCCUGCUGUGCCGUAGCUAACGCAUUAAGUGCUCCGCCUGGGGGUACUACGGUCGCAAGACUA
rnacentral:rRNA from 1 species